GAGGAUAGCUUUGCAGGCCAGGAGAACAGCAUUUGACUGUAGAUCAAGAGGUCCCUGGUUCAAAUCCAGGUAUCCCCU
rnacentral:tRNA from 1 species